ncrna:unclassified sequences IMES-5 RNA
UAUUUUAGGAAAGAACCGGACCUCGAGACCCGGAUCAGGAAAAAAAUGUACAGAAGAAGAAGGGUGAAAAGUUUAAACGAAAGUUUAACGUCUGUGAGUUAGAAAGGGUACUAACCACACAGUGAGGAACCCGCACUGACCCCUUCAACUUCG